rnacentral:lncRNA from 1 species
CCCCCUCCGUCUCUCCCCACCACCCCUCCACUGAGCUAGCCGCCGCUCUUCCACACCCACCCCUCCGGCUCCCCGCCUCGCACCCAUGGCGACGGCUCUGAUGGCUGCGGCCACCACCUCCUGCUCCCCGCGCCGCGCGGCGCCGCUCCUGAAGCCGAUGGCCUCCUCCUCGUCCUCGCCCAGCUCGGCGCGGGCGCGGCGGCCCCUGGCGCAGCAGCUCCCGCGGCUGCUGGCGACGGCGGCGGCGGCGGUGGCGGCCGCACCGCUCCCGGCGCUGGCGGAGCAGAUGGAGAAGGCGGCGCUCUUCGACUUCAACCUGACGCUCCCGGCGAUCGCGACCGAGUUCCUGCUGCUCAUGGUGGCGCUGGACAAGCUCUACUUCACGCCGCUCGGCAAGUUCAUGGACGAGCGGGACGCCAAGAUCCGCGGCGAGCUUGGCGACGUCAAGGACGCCUCCGAGGAGGUCAAGCAGCUGGAGGAGCAGGCGGCCGCCAUCAUGAAGGCCGCGCGCGCCGAGAUCGCCGCGGCGCUCAACAAGAUGAAGAAGGAGACCACCGCCGAGCUGGAGGCCAAGCUGGACGAGGGCCGCCGCCGCGUCGAGGCCGAGCUCGUCGAGGCGCUCGCCAACCUCGAGGCGCAGAAGGAGGAGGCCGUCAAGGCGCUCGACGCACAGAUCGCCUCGCUCAGCGACGAGAUCGUCAAGAAGGUGCUCCCAUCCGCGUGAGGAAACCGGACCAGCGAGCCGGCCGGAUGGCCUCUUCUUCCUCGCUUAGCUUUCUGAUCUGUGUGUAUACGCUUGUUGGGCUGCCGUCCAUCGGCGGCCCUGCUUUAUCCUAUGACUGUAAUUGCAUCGACAUUUUGUGCCAAGUAUAAAUGAAAUAUUU